rnacentral:rRNA from 1 species
UACAGAGGUCUCAGGCGUUGUUCGGAUUCAUUGGGCGUAAAGGGUGCGUAGGUGGCGUGGUAAGUCGGGUGUGAAAUUUCGGAGCUUAACUCCGAAACUGCAUUCGAUACUGCUGUGCUUGAGGACUGGAGAGGAGACUGGAAUUUACGGUGUAGCAGUGAAAUGCGUAGAGAUCGUAAGGAAGACCAGUGGCGAAGGCGGGUCUCUGGACAGUUCCUGACACUGAGGCACGGAGGCCAGGGGAGCAAACGGG